rnacentral:rRNA from 1 species
AAAGGGUCCGUAGGCGGAUCUGUAAGUCAGUGGUGAAAUCUCACAGCUUAACUGUGAAACUGCCAUUGAUACUGCAGGUCUUGAGUGUUGUUGAAGUAGCUGGAAUAAGUAGUGUAGCGGUGAAAUGCAUAGAUAUUACUUAGAACACCAAUUGCGAAGGCAGGUUACUAAGCAACAACUGACGCUGAUGGACGAAAGCGUGGGGAGCGAACAGGAUUAGAUACCCGGGU